GAUGAACGCUGGCGGCGUGCCUAAUACAUGCAAGUCGAGCGAACGGACGAGAGGCUUGCUUCUCUGAUGUUAGCGGCGGACGGGUGAGUAACACGUGGAUAACCUACCUAUAAGACUGGGAUAACUUCGGGAAACCGGAGCUAAUACCGGAUAAUAUUUUGAACGGCAUGGUUCAAAAGUGAAAGACGGUCUUGCUGUCACUUAUAGAUGGAUCCGCGCUGCAUUAGCUAGUUGGUAAGGUAACGGCUUACCAAAGCAACGAUGCAUAGCCGACCUGAGAGGGUGAUCGGCCACACUGGAACUGAGACACGGUCCAGACUCCUACGGGAGGCAGCAGUAGGGAAUCUUCCGCAAUGGGCGAAAGCCUGACGGAGCAACGCCGCGUGAGUGAUGAAGGUCUUCGGAUCGUAAAACUCUGUUAUUAGGGAAGAACAUAUGUGUAAGUAACUGUGCACAUCUUGACGGUACCUAAUCAGAAAGCCACGGCUAACUACGUG
rnacentral:rRNA from 1 species